rnacentral:snoRNA from 1 species
UGCCGAUGAUGAAGUAGUUUUGCGUUAAUGAUCAAAAUCAUGAUUACGACUAUACUACUGCCUUCCUUCUGAGGCU